rnacentral:rRNA from 1 species
UACGAACCGUACGAACGUUAUUCGGAAUCACUGGGCUUAAAGAGUGCGUAGGCGGCUUAGAAAGUUGGGUGUGAAAUCCCUCGGCUCAACCGAGGAAUUGCGCCCAAAACUACUAGGCUUGAGGGAGGCAGAGGUAAGCGGAACUAAUGGUGGAGCGGUGAAAUGCGUUGAUAUCAUUAGGAACACCUGAGGCGAAAGCAGCUUACUGGGCCUCUUCUGACGCUGAGGCACGAAAGCUAGGGGAGCGAACGGGAUUAGAUACCCUGGUA